rnacentral:rRNA from 1 species
UACGUAGGGUGCGAGCGUUGUCCGGAAUUAUUGGGCGUAAAGGGCUCGUAGGCGGUCUGUCGCGUCGGGAGUGAAAACUCGGGGCUUAACUCCGAGCCUGCUUCUGAUACGGGCAGACUAGAGGUAUGCAGGGGAGAAUGGAAUUCCUGGUGUAGCGGUGAAAUGCGCAGAUAUCAGGAGGAACACCGGUGGCGAAGGCGGAUCUCGUGGGCCAUUACUGACGCUGAGGAGCGAAAGCGUGGGGAGCGAACAGG